rnacentral:lncRNA from 1 species
ACGCCUUUAAUCCCAGUACUCGAGUGGCAGAGACAGGCAGAUCUCUGUGAGUCCGAGGCCAGCCUGGUGUACCAUGUGAGUCCAGGAUAGCCAGGGCUCUGUUACACAGAGAAACUCUGUCUCAGAACAACAAAAUAGAUUCUUGGAACUGGCAUUCAGGUUGAGCUCAGCAUCUGCAAUCAGUCUGAAAAUAUGUUUAACAGGUAGGUGCCUGCGGAGUAAGUCACAUACUGGCCCAACAAUCAAAGCAAAUGUCAGUACAGCAAGUAAACUCACUGUGCUAACCGACUACUACUCUAGGCAUUUCAUCAUACCUGAUAGAAAGCUGCAAGAAAGGAGAUGAGUGACAUACAAUCGUUUACAUUGUUCUUAUAAGUGCAUGCAAUCUGUUGCAAUCCCUCAUCCAGCCGUGUGUUUGCUUUCUUCCUGAUUUAAAGUAAGGCAGCUUCUGUUGCUUAGGACUUUCUUGGAGACAUAAUUUACACAUUAGAACACAGUGGAUCAACUUGAACUUGUAGGAUACACCAGUUUAAGAGCACACUGUGUGACAGGCAUUUCUAAAGCAUGCACUUGAACUUGAUGGGUGUUCCAGCAGUGAAGAAAAGGCUAUAGCCAAAGCUGUUAUUUUAGAAAAUUUAAAACCUAAAAGUUAACCUUAUUGAUCAUAUACUUUCUCUGAUUCUUUGAGAAAUUUUGAAAUAAUGUAAUACUUAAAACAGUAAUUGUUUUAAAAUACAACGCGAUACUAGAGUUCAAAAGAAAAUGAUUAGGGCUGAGAGAAAAGGCAGAGAAAGAAAUGGCAGGUCCAGUCCAAAGCUUUAUUUGCCAAGUUUUCUUAGAUGAAAUUUACCAAGUUAUGAGUUCUUGUAAAUACGUAACAGAAUACUGAGACCCUGUGCCUGAAUGGCAUUAUUAGAUGCUGCUGUGAUGCUGCUGUGAUGUAAUAAACUAUUAACUUGUUGCAAAGUGAUGUAUUUGCCUUAAAUUUUUAUUUUGUGUGUCUUGAAAACUAUAGUAUUAAAGGUAUUGAGAUUGUGCAAAUGCUGGGCACGCUUGGCAUGAAAUAAUCUGUUUUUAUUUUUACACAAUUGUAAUAUAACUAUGCAAGUGUGUUUAUUAAAAGAACACAAACUCC